UUCUUGGUUGAUCCUGCCGGAGGUCACUGCUAUUGGGAUUCGACUAAGCCAUGCGAGUCGAGAGGGUUCGGCCCUCGGCUGACGGCUCAGUAACACGUGGAUAAUCUGCCCUUAGGUGGAGGAUAACCUCGGGAAACUGAGAAUAAUACUCCAUAUGUCUAGGAUGCUGGAAUGCACCUAGAUUUAAAGUUCCGGCGCCUAAGGAUGAGUCUGCGGACUAUCAGGUUGUAGUCAGGGUAAUGACCUGACUAGCCUACGACGGAUAUGGGUUGUGAGAGCAAUAACCCAGAGAUGAUAUCUGAGACACGAUAUCAGGCCCUACGGGGCGCAGCAGGCGCGAAAACUUCACACUGUGCGAAAGCACGAUGAGGGAAUCCCAAGUGCUUGCUCGCAAGAGUAAGCUGUUUCUUUGUUUAAAAUGCAUUGAGAGUAAGGGCUGGGUAAGACGGGUGCCAGCCGCCGCGGUAA
rnacentral:rRNA from 1 species